rnacentral:rRNA from 1 species
GUCUACAGCCAUACCACCCUGAUGCGCCCGAUCUCAGCUGCUCUAGGAAGCUAAGCAAGGUCGGGCCUUGUUAGUACUUGGAUAGGAGAACAAGGAAGUCUGUCUGUU